rnacentral:rRNA from 1 species
UACGAAGGGGGCUAGCGUUGUUCGGAGUUACUGGGCGUAAAGGGCGCGUAGGCGGCGCACCAAGUCAGGCGUGAAAGCCCUGGGCUCAACCCGGGAAUUGCGCUUGAGACUGGUGUGCUUGAGUACGGGAGAGGAUAGUGGAAUUCCCGGUGUAGCGGUGAAAUGCGCAGAUAUCGGGAAGAACACCCGUGGCGAAGGCGGCACUCUGGGACGGUACUGACGCUGAGACGCGAAAGCGUGGGGAGCGAACAGG